rnacentral:rRNA from 1 species
GUGCCAGCCGCCGCGGUAAUACGUAGGAGGCAAGCGUUAUCCGGAUUUACUGGGCGUAAAGCGCGUGUAGGCGGUUUGGUAAGUUGGAUGUGAAAGCUCCCGGCUCAACUGGGAGAGGUCGUUCAAGACUGCCAGACUAGAGGGCGGUAGAGGGAGGUGGAAUUCCGGGUGUAGUGGUGAAAUGCGUAGAUAUCCGGAGGAACACCAGUGGCGAAGGCGGCCUCCUGGGCCGCACCUGACGCUCAGACGCGAAAGCAUGGGUAGCAAACGGGAUUAGAAACCCCGGUAGUCCAUGCCGUAAACGAUGCAGACUUGGUGUUGGUGGCGUAAAAACCAUCAGUGCCGUAGCUAACGCGAUAAGUCUGCCGCCUGGGGACUACGAUCGCAAGAUUAAAACUCAAAGGAAUUGACGGGGACCCGCACAAGCAGCGGAGCGUGUGGUUUAAUUCGAGGCUACGCGAAGAACCUUACCUGGGCUUGACAUGUUGGUUGUAGGGAUCCGAAAGGUGACCGACCCCUCGGGGAGCCAUCACAGGUGUUGCAUGGCUGUCUUCAGCUCGUGCCGUGAGGUGUCCGGUUAAGUCCGGUAACGAGCGCAACCCUUACUGUAUGUUAUACGUGUCAUACGGGACUGCCGAUAUAAAGUCGGAGGAAGGCGGGGAUGACGUCAAGUCAGCAUGACCCUUAUUGUCCAGGGCUACACACACGCUACAAUGGUCGGUACAAUAGGUUGCAAAACCGCGAGGUGAAGCCAAUCCUUAAAGCCGAUCUCAGUUCGGAUUGCAGGCUGCAACUCGCCUGCAUGAAGCUGGAGUUGCUAGUAACCGCGCGUCAGCAAUAGUGCGGUGAAUACGUUCCCGGG